rnacentral:rRNA from 1 species
UACGGAGGGAGCUAGCGUUGUUCGGAAUUACUGGGCGUAAAGCGCACAUAGGCGGCUUUUUAAGUCAGAGGUGAAAUCCCGGGGCUCAACCCCGGAACUGCCUUUGAAACUGAAGAGCUAGAAUCUUGGAGAGGCGAGUGGAAUUCCGAGUGUAGAGGUGAAAUUCGUAUAUAUUCGGAAGAACACCAGUGGCGAAGGCGACUCGCUGGACAAGUACUGACGCUGAGGUGCGAAAGCGUGGGGAGCAAACAGG